ensembl:snRNA U6 U6 spliceosomal RNA
GUGGCUGUGUUGCAGCACAUAUACUAAAAUUGGAACCAUACAGAGAACAUUAACGUGGCCCCUGUGCAAGGUCCCACAUCUAUUGAACUCAUACUCUU